CAAGAGCGUAUAUUAAAGUUGCUGCGGUUAAAAAGCUCGUAGUUGGAUUUCAGUCUAGGAAGGUUAACUCGCCGAAAGGUUGUACGUUGAUUUUCCUCAGACUUCGUCAGAAGCUCGUGCUGCACUUAACUGUGUGGUACGAUUUUCUGACCUUUUACCUUGAGGAAAGUAGAGUGUUUCAGGCAGGCUACCCAGCUUGAAUACAUUAGCAUGGAAUAAUGAAAUGGAUCUCGGUUCGAUUUCGUUGGUUCUAGAGCUGAGGUGAUGAUCAAUAGGAACAGGCGAAGGUAUUCGUACUUGAGAGUGAGGAGUGAAAUCCGAUGAUCUCUUAAAGACGAUCCGAGGCGAAAGCAUUUGUCAAGGAUGUUUUCAUUGA
rnacentral:rRNA from 1 species